UAUAACUGCCGUGGACUUGUCGCCAACACCGACCCUCACUUUGUCACCGUGAUCCUGACCAAGCUGCGCUUUGAAGUUUUCCAGCCGGGAGACUAUGUAAUACGAGAGGGAACGCUGGGUCGGAAAAUGUAUUUCAUCCAGCAUGGCACCGUCACGAUUAUCCCGCGUGGCAGUAAGGAGUUAGUGCUCAGUGAUGGAGCCUACUUUGGAGCUUCUUCAGUGUGAUGGGAAUUUGUACGACUCCAUCUCAGUAGCGAUCAAAGCUGCUCUCUUCAUCACUAAAAUUCCCAGAGUUCACAUCUCAUCCGAUGAGGAAGGAAGGAAGGAGAUCGAGCUCUCUGACGACCCGUACGACUGCAUGAGACUCGAUGUGGAAAACGUUCCCUGCAUAGUGACUUUAUGCAA